UAUACUGGCCAACUUAGGAGCAAGUUGCUCUGAAGAGCUACGCUUUCAAUUUUAUUUAUUUUUGACAGAAAUCUUCCUGAAAUGUAACAUUAGAGAUAAUUGGCUAUUCUGUCUUGAGUGCCCUGAGCUGCGGACUGGCCUUGCCUGGUGUGGAGGUUGACUAGGUGGUGGACAACACAAUGAUCUCAGAGUCAAAUGGUCCUGUUCAAAUCUGGGCUCCGACCCUCCGCACGGAACUCUGACAGAUCUCCAAAUGCCUCUGAGUUUACUGCUUUGGUUUGCUGUUGGCUUAGAAACCAAACAUUCAAGCUUGUGAAAGAGACUAAGAAAGAACAAUGAAUGCUGUUACUGGGAUGUUUUUCGGAAGCGAUGUGCCCACCCGUCUCUCCCAUCCUCUUGGCCUCUCCAUCAUCUGCUCUAAGCACAACACCCUCCUCUUCAGAUGAGUCUGCUGAGGGCCCAGAAAACUAAGACCGGGAGUUUGGGAAGAGGGCAGAUGGCAGGGAAGGAAGAGGAGAGUAUGGACAGGGGAAGGUGGUCUCUGGCGAAGAAAGCAGAAGGAGUGCCUGGAUGGAGAACACCAAGGUGGGACCAGAAAAUGGGAAAGGUUCAGCAGCAAGAAUGGAAGGGCGCUCAGACAGUCACUCAGAGCUUUCACCGGCUGAAGAGUCUGCUCUCUACCAGAGAGGUGCAGUUGAAGAGAGGCCUACACCCCUGAGAUAAGACUGGGGGACGACCUGCCAGUCUUCCUCCAGUCCUGAGGGUGCAAUCCUGGUGACCAGCAUGGACUGUGAGGCUGACUGGGGGGAGGGACUGCCUACUGGGGGACAGGCUGCAUUUACAAAACAUCUGUGGCUUCAGGGACAACUAACAUAUUUUGGUGUGAGGCAGAACUUCGAAGAUCUCAGGAAACUUCAUCAACGUUACUUAACUUGUCUUAUACCUCUGUGAGACAUUGAUGUCCCCAGAAGAUGGUCUCUCCAAUAGAGAGGUCAUCCAACAAGUCAGUAACAGAUGAGAGGAUAACUAGCCUAGCCAGAUGAUCUCCUCCUCCUCCUGUUAAGGAUUUCCUGAUCUCUGGAUUAUUCUGCAAGAUUUUUGGUGUUGUAACUAUAAUAUACAUGUUCUUAAAUGCCUUUGAUGAUUUUACAAUAUUUAUGGGUUAAGUGCUUCCACAGAAAUAAUGUUAUUUGAUUCUUAGAGCACAUAAAGUAUUAAGAUCUAUAUAUUUUGUAGCAAAAACAUUAAGGCUCAGGUUAACUGUAAAACUUAUUUAAGGUCACUCUGAGAGUGAUAAAACUGAGGUUUUCAUACCAAAUCAUAUACUUGUUCAGUGCUCCACUGGCUUGAUAUAAGUAAUAGCCCAAAUUUUGGGUGAAGACUAUCACAUUAUUAUCUUGAUCCUAGUAUUUUUACACUAUUUCUGACAUUGUUAUGUUACUGCUCUUCCUAUAUCUUUUUAUAUCAAAUUCAUGGUUGAAAUAGCUGAGCUUGUCAAAGUAAUAGACAAAAUUAUCAUCUAUGCAGAGAACACUAAUGGACCAAAACCGGUCACCAAUAAAUGGGCUAUUGAUAGUACAAUUCAGAAAAAGCCCAAACAUCUACCAUUGUUAGUGAAGAAAAGACAAGUAGAAAUGCAAAUACAAUAAAUUCUCUAGAAAAUAAAAAAAGAAAAAAGAAAGAAAGGGAAAUUAAAGUCUUGCUAGAAAAUAAUGCAUUUAUGUGUAAGUCCCAUGAAUUAAAUUGCCUGGAAAGCAUGCCCACAUUUCUGAACAUUCGUUCACUUACUCAAAAAGUAUUUGUUAAGCAACUACAUAUGCUACCCUGUAUUCAUAUAUAGAUU